AUACGCUGGCCAGUGGUCAGCUAGAAACUAAUUAUUUAGCUCCUCCCUGAGGGUGGGAAGUUAGGGCUCAAGCUUUUCCUCUUCUCUUGCAGCUACCUCCAUCAUUGUUUCUUCUGCAGCUGAAUAGGCUGGCAGGCAGCCUGAAAUGGGGACCUGCUCAGAAGACCCCCACCCCUGCUGGGCAUCCCGGCUCCUCGGACUCAUCAGUCUCUUUCUCAAGCCUAUACCCAGUCCUGAGAUUCUGGCUGGGCCACGAUCCAUCACACCAGGCUGGUGCAAUGUCACCCUGGAGUGUGGGCCCAGAGGAGCCACAAAGGACCUGAAUGUGACCUGGAAGAGGGAGUACAUCCCUGAGGAGCUGGAGCAGACAGGGACACUGGGACCUGCCUCAAACUCCCACACCCUGGCUGUGAGGCUGCCCCUGAGUCAGCCCUACUCCAGUAUCACCUGCGUGGUCAGCAACCAGAUGGACCAGAAAACUGCUACCGUAGGUCUUGGGGAAGUCUGUGCCCAUGGUUCUCAAGGACUGCCCAUUGCUGGCUCCCUAGGAGCCAUUGUGGUUCUGCUGCUGAUCCUGGGAUCUGGACUGUGUUUUUGGAAGAAAUGUGGAAAGAAGAAGAUAGAGAUGAGAAGAGGUGCAGGAUCACCAGAGGACCAAAAAGAUGAUGACAGCAUCCAGUAUGUGGAGCUGAACCAGCAGGAAUCUCAAGAGGGCUUGUACAUGGGUGUCAGUGAACAACAUUCAGGGCCUCUCACUACUAUCUACAGUGAAGUCUGUAAGCCAGGCCAUGCUAUGAAGAUAAUUUAA
rnacentral:lncRNA from 9 species